rnacentral:lncRNA from 1 species
UGAAACCAAAGCACCCUACUGGCUCUUACCUGACCUGCUAAGAUUUAUCACCAGGCUGUGGAAAAGAAGCAUUCCUGCAAGAUGUCCCUGGCAGUGAGAAGAGGGGAGAUGCCCCAUGGGCAUGCGAUCCCUUUCGUCCUUCACAUUUAGCUGAGCACGGCAGGGGCUAUGGGUGCUUGGGGUGUGAAAUGUCUUCAAAUGCUUCAAAAAACAGAGAGUCCCACACAUGGAACUGUUCAUUUAGAAGAGAGCUGAUAUUGUCACAAAGAGAGCUCAAAGGCAGGAUGAAGCUGAGGACAGCACGCUGUAAAUACUCUUCCUCACGUCCCAGCUGUGCAUUGCACGAGUGGAAAGGCGAGGGGCUGCUCACCAGAGGGCUUGCUUCCUUCAGAGCAAUGUUUGGUGAAGAGGAGGAGAGACAGCCAGCAAGACCUGCAUCCCCAUUGAGGCAAAGAGCGCUUAAAACACGCACAGCCCCAGGCAAUGCCCUGCAGGCAGCUCUGCCCACAACCAGACAAGGCAAUGAGCAGCCAUGCCUACUGGUUCUGCCUUUUUCCAUAGUUCUCUGUGCCCAAAUCCCAUCAAAGGACUGGGAACUGUAACUGUAGCCUUGAGUAAUGUUGGUAACUCCCCCCAUGAAAAUAACAAAAACAGAAGUUUGAAAAAGAAUGGAAAUUAUCCUUCUUAUCAGAAUUGCCUUCAAACCCUCCAAAGGGUAAUUGGUAAUGUUAAAAAUAAAGAAUUGAU